rnacentral:lncRNA from 1 species
CCAGAGAGGGCACAUGUGCCUCAAUUGGCCUAUAGCAUAGCGACUCAUUAUCCUUCCACCGCUGGUGGCGGGCGGUACUCGCUGCUCUGUGAAGCCAGCCUCACGCAAUGUCUGCCACUUUAGGUGUUGGGAUGCAAAGGCUUUCGCCAAGGCAUCCGAAACCCACUACACAACUUGGAAUGGGUGGUCCACAGUUGGUAGCACUAGACCCAGGCACAUGCACCACAAUUGACAUCCACACUACCUUAUUGCCCCCGCUCGGGUUACAAGCAAUCGCUACUUGCUCAGCGAGUGAGGGGGUUCAAGACUACCUAUUUAAGGUGGUGUUGUACUCUAUGAGCCGGUGGUGUGGUAUUUACCAACUACAAAUAGUGUCAUGCAUGUGACUUGCUAGUUGACAAUGUCUGUUGUCAAGCUAGGUGUGGGCUAUGGAUGAAGCACAUUAGGAUAUAGUAGGCCUAUUUUGUUUUUUGUUGUUUUUGGGCCACUAUGGACUUUAUGUUGAUGUUGUGAAUUUUUUUUCUUGUGUUUCCUCUUCCUACAAUGUGGAAAGUGGGUGCGUCAGAGAAGAAAGAAAGAGUGGCUAGCAUUGAUUUUACGUCAUACCAUUGAGAACACUAAUCAGAAGCAGAAGCAACAAUAUUUCAUACAUAUACAACACUUGUAAUCCAUAUAAACAACAUUCCUUUAAAAUAUAAUAUAAACCACAUGAUUUAUAUCCUGGGUCGGCUAUCUCCACAAAGGGCAAGAAAACGCUCCAAGUUUGUAGUAUAGCACUAAAAGUGUCGAUUCUCACGAUUUCUUCCCGACAUAUACAAACUAGACAGUAAUCACAUAAAAUAAAGAAAUAUGUGUUAACACGAACUUAUAGCAUGUAUUUCAACAUAUAGAUUGUUGAUUAUUAUGGUAGAUUAUAUAAAAUAGGGGUUCCCGAAGAAAUACAUAAAAACAAGAGCAUUAAAAUUUCCUUUUCAGAUCUGGCUAUCUGGUAAAAGGAGUUGGAGUAACUGAGUUUCCAAAUUUGUGACGUAGCUCUAUAGAAGGAAUAUAAAUACGUUGGAAAAAUUCUAUAAGGAAAGGUUUAAUACAAGUAGGGCUAAGAAAAACUCAAUGAGGCUUUGGUCGCAUGGUCACAAAACUUGAGACAAGAAACACGAAGACACCAAGGUAAUUAGUAUGAGAGUUUUCCAAAUUUGGUGUCUUGAUGUAGAAAAAAUAAAUAUAUGACAAACUUGUUUUUCGCAAGGCAUGGAUAAAUAAGUGGGGGUGAGCAAUAAAUUUCAUCCUAGAUUUAGAAGGAAUAAAUAUAUCACUUAAUAUGUUUUUUCACAAUGCCAAGUUAAUCAGGUGGGAGCGAGAAACAAUUCUAGCGAGGCUAGGUUGUACUAGCCCAAAACUACAUACAACAGAGGAAAAAUGAAGAAAAUGAUGGUCUACCAAAUAUGGUGCAUGAGCCUUAAGGUGCACCUAGAGGGAAGUAGAAGAAAUAAAUAUAUAAUAGCAUAUGUUUUUCGCAAUGCAAGGUAAAGUGUAGAUGUGCUCUAACUGGGCUUAGAUUGCAGCGACACAUUAUGCAUCUACAAGGCUUGGUUGCACAUGGAAAAAGAUAGAGAGAGAAAUGUAGACGCAAGACCGGGAGAAAAACAUUCAAUGAGACGUGAUUGCACGGACAUAGAACUAGAUAAAAGACAAGAGUUAAAGAAAAAUAAAGGAACUAAAUUUUCUUCUGCACACUAAGCAUGAAUGGAGUUGUAGUAUCUGAGAUCAAAAUUUAAUUUAUUCCAAGAUGCAGAACAAAAACGUGAUACUCGUAAUGGUUACAUAGGAACAUAAGUAGAUAAGAAAAAUAGCAAAAAGAUAGUGGUCUACCAGAGAGGGCACAUGUGCCUCAAUUGGCCUAUAGCAUAGCGACUCAUUAUCCUUCCACCGCUGGUGGCGGGCGGUACUCGCUGCUCUGUGAAGCCAGCCUCACGCAAUGUCCGCCACUUUAGGUGUUGGGAUGCAAAGGCUUUUGCCAAGGCAUCCGAAACCCACUACACAACUUGGAAUGGGUGGUCCACAGUUUGUAGCACUAGACCCAGGCACAUGCACCACAAUUGACAUCCACACUACCUUAUUGCCCCCGCUCGGGUUACAAGCAAUCGCUACUUGCUCAACGAGUGAGGGGGUUCAAGACUACCUAUUUAAGGUGGUGUUGUACUCUAUGAGCCGGCGGUGUGGUAUUUACCAACUACAAAUAGUGUCAUGCAUGUGACUUGCUAGUUGACAAUGUCUGUUGUCAAGCUAGGUGUGGGCUAUGGAUGAAGCACAUUAGGAUAUAGUAGGCCUAUUUUGUUUUUUGUUGUUUUUGGGCCACUAUGGACUUUAUGUUGAUGUUGUGAAUUUUUUUUCUUGUGUUUCCUCUUCCUACGAUGUGGAAAGUGGGUGCGUCAGAGAAGAAAGAAAGAGUGGCUAGCAUUGAUUUUACGUCAUACCAUUGAGAACACUAAUCAGAAGCAGAAGCAACAAUAUUUCAUACAUAUACAACACUUGUAAUCCAUAUAAACAACAUUCCUUUAAAAUAUAAUAUAAACCACAUGAUUUAUAUCCUGGGUCAGCUAUCUCCACAAAGGGCAAGAAAACGCUCCAAGUUUGUAGUAUAGCACUAAAAGUGUCGAUUCUCACGAUUUCUUCCCGACAUAUACAAACUAGACAGUAAUCACAUAAAAUAAAGAAAUAUGUGUUAACACGAACUUAUAGCAUGUAUUUCAACAUAUAGAUUGUUGAUUAUUAUGGUAGAUUAUAUAAAAUAGGGGUUCCCGAAGAAAUACAUAAAAACAAGAGCAUUAAAAUUUCCUUUUCAGAUCUGGCUAACUGGUAAAGGGAGUUGGAGUAUCUGAGUUUCCAAAUUUGGGACGUCGCUCUAUAGAAGGAAUAUAAAUACAUUGGAAAAAAUUCUACAAGGAAAGGUUUAAUACAAGUAGCGCUAAGAAAAACUCAAUGAGGCUUUGGUCGCUUGGUCACAAAACUUGAGACAAGAAACACGAAGACACCAAGGUAAUUAGUAUGAGAGUUUUCCAAAUUUGGUGUCUUGAUGUAGAAAAAAUAAAUAUAUGACAAACUUGUUUUUUCGUAAGGCAUGGAUAAAUAAGUGGGGGUGAGCAAUAAAUUUCAUCCUAGAUUUAGAAGGAAUAAAUAUAUCACUAAAUAGGUUUUUUCACAAUGCCAAGUUAAUCAGGUGGGAGCGAGAAACAAUUCUAGCGAGGCUAGGUUGUACUAGCCCAAAACUACAUACAACAGAGGAAAAAUGAAGAAAAUGAUGGUCUACCAAAUAUGGCGCAUGAGCCUUAAGGUGCACCUAGAGGGAAGUAGAAGAAAUAAAUAUAUAAUGGCAUAUGUUUAUCGCAAUGCAAGGUAAAGUGUAGAUGUGCUCUAACUGGGCUUAGAUUGCAGCGACACAUUAUGCAUCUACAAGGCUUGGUUGCACAUGGAAAAAGAUAGAGAGAGAAAUGUAGAUGCAGGACCGGGUGAAAAACAUUCAAUGAGACGUGAUUGCACGGACAUAGAACUAGAUAUAAGACAAGAGUUAAAGAAAAAUAAAGGAACUAAAUUUUCUUCUGCACACUAAGCAUGAAUGGAGUUGUAGUAUCUGAGAUCAAAAUUUAAUUUAUUCCAAGAUGCAGAACAAAAAUGUGAUACUCGUAAUGGUUACAUAGGAGCAAAAGUAGAUAAGAAAAAUAGCAAAAAGAUAGUGGUCUACCAGAGAGGGCACAUGUGCCUCAAUUGUCUUAUAGCAUAGCGACUCAUUAUCCUUCCACCGCUGGUGGCGGGCGGUACUCGCUGCUCUGUGAAGCCAGCCUCACGCAAUGUCCGCCACUUUAGGUGUUGGGAUGCAAAGACUUUCGCCAAGGCAUCCGAAACCCACUACACAACUUGGAAUGGGUGGUCCACUGUUUGUAGCACUAGACCCAGGCACAUGCACCACAAUUGACAUCCACACUACCUUAUUGCCCCGCUCGGGUUACAAGCAAUCGCUACUUGCUCAGCGAGUGAGGGGGUUCAAGACUACCUAUUUAAGGUGGUGUUGUACUCUAUGAGCCGGCGGUGUGGUAUUUACCAACUACAAAUAGUGUCAUGCAUGUGACUUGCUAGUUGACAAUGUCUGUUGUCAAGCUAGGUGUGGGCUAUGGAUGAAGCACAUUAGGAUAUAGUAGGCCUAUUUUGUUUUUUGUUGUUUUUGGGCCACUAUGGACUUUAUGUUGAUGUUGUGAAAUUUUUUUCUUGUGUUUCCUCUUCCUACGAUGUGGAAAGUGGGUGCGUCAGAGAAGAAAGAAAGAGUGGCUAGCAUUGAUUUUACGUCAUACCAUUGAGAACACUAAUCAGAAGCAGAAGCAACAAUAUUUCAUACAUAUACAACACUUGUAAUCCAUAUAAACAACAUUCCUUUAAAAUAUAAUAUAAACCACAUGAUUUAUAUCCUGGGUCGGCUAUCUCCACAAAGGGCAAGAAAACGCUCCAAGUUUGUAGUAUAGCACUAAAAGUGUCGAUUCUCACGAUUUCUUCCCGACAUAUACAAACUAGACAGUAAUCACAUAAAAUAAAGAAAUAUGUGUUAACACGAACUUAUAGCAUGUAUUUCAACAUAUAGAUUUUUGAUUAUUAUGGUAGAUUAUAUAAAAUAGGGGUUCCCGAAGAAAUACAUAAAAACAAGAGCAUUAAAAUUUCCUUUUCAGAUCUGGCUAUCUGGUAAAAGGAGUUGGAGUAACUGAGUUUCCAAAUUUGUGACGUAGCUCUAUAGAAGGAAUAUAAAUACGUUGGAAAAAUUCUAUAAGGAAAGGUUUAAUACAAGUAGGGCUAAGAAAAACUCAAUGAGGCUUUGGUCGCAUGGUCACAAAACUUGAGACAAGAAACACGAAGACACCAAGGUAAUUAGUAUGAGAGUUUUCCAAAUUUGGUGUCUUGAUGUAGAAAAAAUAAAUAUAUGACAAAUUUGUUUUUUCGCAAGGCAUGGAUAAAUAAGUGGGGGUGAGCAAUAAAUUUCAUCCUAGAUUUAGAAGGAAUAAAUAUAUCACUAAAUACAUUUUUUCACAAUGCCAAAUUAAUCAGGUGGGAGCGAGAAACAAUUGUAGCGAGGCUAGGUUGUACUAGCCCAAAACUACAUACAACAGAGGAAAAAUGAAGAAAAUGAUGGUCUACCAAAUAUGGCGCAUGAGCCUUAAGGUGCACCUAGAGGGAAGUAGAAGAAAUAAAUAUAUAAUAGCAUAUGUUUUUCGCAAUGCAUGGUAAAGUGUAGAUGUGCUCUAACUGGGCUUAGAUUGCAGCGACACAUUAUGCAUCUACAAGGCUUGGUUGCACAUGGAAAAAGAUACAAAAAGAAAUGUAGACGCAGGACCGGGAGAAAAACAUUCAAUGAGACGUGAUUGCACGGACAUAGAACUAGAUAUAAGACAAGAGUUAAAGAAAAAUAAAGGAACUAAAUUUUCUUCUGCACACUAAGCAUGAAUGGAGUUGUAGUAUCUGAGAUCAAAAUUUAAUUUAUUCCAAGAUGCAGAACAAAAAUUUGAUACUCGUAAUGGUUACAUAGGAGCAAAAGUAGAUAAGAAAAAUAGCAAAAAGAUAGUGGUCUACCAGAGAGGGCACAUGUGCCUCAAUUGGCCUAUAGCAUAGCGACUCAUUAUCCUUCCACCGCUGGUGGCGGGCGGUACUCGCUGCUCUGUGAAGCCAGCCUCACACAAUGUCCGCCACUUUAGGUGUUGGGAUGCAAAGGCUUUCGCCAAGGCAUCCGAAACCCACUACACAACUUGGAAUGGGUGGUCCACUGUUUGUAGCACUAGACCCAGGCACAUGCACCACAAUUGACAUCCACACUACCUUAUUGCCCCGCUCGGGUUACAAGCAAUCGCUACUUGCUCAGCGAGUGAGGGGGUUCAAGACUACCUAUUUAAGGUGGUGUUGUACUCUAUGAGCCGGCGGUGUGGUAUUUACCAACUACAAAUAGUGUCAUGCAUGUGACUUGCUAGUUGACAAUGUCUGUUGUCAAGCUAGGUGUGGGCUAUGGAUGAAGCACAUUAGGAUAUAGUAGGCCUAUUUUGUUUUUUGUUGUUUUUGGGCCACUAUGGACUUUAUGUUGAUGUUGUGAAAUUUUUUUCUUGUGUUUCCUCUUCCUACGAUGUGGAAAGUGGGUGCGUCAGAGAAGAAAGAAAGAGUGGCUAGCAUUGAUUUUACGUCAUACCAUUGAGAACACUAAUCAGAAGCAGAAGCAACAAUAUUUCAUACAUAUACAACACUUGUAAUCCAUAUAAACAACAUUCCUUUAAAAUAUAAUAUAAACCACAUGAUUUAUAUCCUGGGUCGGCUAUCUCCACAAAGGGCAAGAAAACGCUCCAAGUUUGUAGUAUAGCACUAAAAGUGUCGAUUCUCACGAUUUCUUCCCGACAUAUACAAACUAGACAGUAAUCACAUAAAAUAAAGAAAUAUGUGUUAACACAAACUUAUAGCAUGUAUUUCAACAUAUAGAUUGUUGAUUAUUAUGGUAGAUUAUAUAAAAUAGGGGUUCCCGAAGAAAUACAUAAAAACAAGAGCAUUAAAAUUUCCUUUUCAGAUCUGGCUAUCUGGUAAAAGGAGUUGGAGUAACUGAGUUUCCAAAUUUGUGACGUAGCUCUAUAGAAGGAAUAUAAAUACGUUGGAAAAAUUCUAUAAGGAAAGGUUUAAUACAAGUAGGGCUAAGAAAAACUCAAUGAGGCUUUGGUCGCAUGGUCACAAAACUUGAGACAAGAAACACGAAGACACCAAGGUAAUUAGUAUGAGAGUUUUCCAAAUUUGGUGUCUUGAUGUAGAAAAAAUAAAUAUAUGACAAAUUUGUUUUUUCGCAAGGCAUGGAUAAAUAGGUGGGGGUGAGCAAUAAAUUUCAUCCUAGAUUUAGAAGGAAUAAAUAUAUCACUAAAUAUGUUUUUUCACAAUGCCAAGUUAAUCAGGUGGGAGCGAGAAACAAUUCUAGCGAGGCUAGGUUGUACUAGCCCAAAACUACAUACAACAGAGGAAAAAUGAAGAAAAUGAUGGUCUACCAAAUAUGGCGCAUGAGCCUUAAGGUGCACCUAGAGGGAAGUAGAAGAAAUAAAUAUAUAAUAGCAUAUAUUUUUCGCAAUGCAUGGUAAAGUGUAGAUGUGCUCUAACUGGGCUUAGAUUGCAGCGACACAUUAUGCAUCUACAAGGCUUGGUUGCACAUGGAAAAAGAUACAGAAAGAAAUGUAGACGCAGGACCGGGAGAAAAACAUUCAAUGAGACGUGAUUGCACAGACAUAGAACUAGAUAUAAGACAAGAGUUAAAGAAAAAUAAAGGAACUAAAUUUUCUUCUGCACACUAAGCAUGAAUGGAGUUGUAGUAUCUGAGAUCAAAAUUUAAUUUAUUCCAAGAUGCAGAACAAAAAUGUGAUACUCGUAAUGGUUACAUAGGAACAAAAGUAGUUAAGAAAAAUAGCAAAAAGAUAGUGGUCUACCAGAGAGGGCACAUGUGCCUCAAUUGGCCUAUAGCAUAGCGACUCAUUAUCCUUCCACCGCUGGUGGCGGGCGGUACUCGCUGCUCUGUGAAGCCAGCCUCACGCAAUGUCCGCCACUUUAGGUGUUGGGAUGCAAAGGCUUUCGCCAAGGCAUCCGAAACCCACUACACAACUUGGAAUGGGUGGUCCACAGUUUGUAGCACUAGACCCAGGCACAUGCACCACAAUUGACAUCCACACUACCUU